GGCCGAAGGAGCUCAGGCACGGUGGUUACCGGAGCCGUAGAAGGCAAAAGUGUAGAUCGGAGCACAACAGGUAUGAAAAACGUAGUCUUUUCUUAUUAUGUUGAACAUCAAAAAUACUGUUUCUGAGAUUCUGAUUACAACAAAGGGAAAGGGGGUGAACUCUAUAUAUAGAGUUCUAAGGGGAACAAAACGGUAAAACAAACAAAUAAACAGAAUAACUGUCUUCGGACAGUUAAGAGAACUGUAAAGUUCUCAAUACCCU
rnacentral:lncRNA from 1 species